rnacentral:rRNA from 1 species
GAAGUCUGACGGAGCACGCCGCGUGAGUGAUGAAGGUUUUCGGAUCGUAAAGCUCUGUUGUUAGGGAAGAACAAGUGCCGUUCAAAUAGGGCGGCACCUUGACGGUACCUAACCAGAAAGCCACGGCUAACUACGUGCCAGCAGCCGCGGUAAUACGUAGGUGGCAAGCGUUGUCCGGAAUUAUUGGGCGUAAAGGGCUCGCAGGCGGUUUCUUAAGUCUGAUGUGAAAGCCCCCGGCUCAACCGGGGAGGGUCAUUGGAAACUGGGGAACUUGAGUGCAGAAGAGGAGAGUGGAAUUCCACGUGUAGCGGUGAAAUGCGUAGAGAUGUGGAGGAACACCAGUGGCGAAGGCGACUCUCUGGUCUGUAACUGACGCUGAGGAGCGAAAGCGUGGGGAGCGAACAGGAUUAGAUACCCUGGUAGUCCACGCCGUAAACGAUGAGUGCUAAGUGUUAGGGGGUUUCCGCCCCUUAGUGCUGCAGCUAACGCAUUAAGCACUCCGCCUGGGGAGUACGGUCGCAAGACUGAAACUCAAAGGAAUUGACGGGGGCCCGCACAAGCGGUGGAGCAUGUGGUUUAAUUCGAAGCACGCGAAGAACCUUACCAGGUCUUGACAUCCUCUGACAAUCCUAGAGAUAGGACGUCCCCUUCGGGGGCAGAGUGACAGGUGGUGCAUGGUUGUCGUCACCUCGUGUCGUGAGAUGUUGGGUUAAGUCCCGCAACAAGCGCAAACCCUUGAUCUUAUUGCCCACCAUUCAGUUGGGCACUCUAAGGUGACUGGCCGGGGACAACCCGUAGGAAGGUGGGGCUCACCUCAAUUCUUCUUGCACC